AUGAUGUUUUCGGGAGAUUAAGUAGAAAACUUAACAAAGUUUUACUUUAAGAGUUUACUUAGCUAUAUAUUUUAAAUAUAUAGUAUCCUUUAAUGGAUAGCCGAAGGAGUAAGUAUUAUUUUACCGUAAUAAUUAUGAACCUCUCAGGCAAAAGGACCGAAAACGGACA
rnacentral:ncRNA from 2 species